UACAGAGGGUGCGAGCGUUAAUCGGAUUUACUGGGCGUAAAGCGUGCGUAGGCGGCCAUUUAAGUCAAAUGUGAAAUUCCCGAGCUUAACUUGGGAAUUGCAUUCGAUACUGGAUGGCUAGAGUAUGGGAGAGGAUGGUAGAAUUCCAGGUGUAGCGGUGAAAUGCGUAGAGAUCUGGAGGAAUACCGAUGGCGAAGGCAGCCAUCUGGCCUAAUACUGACGCUGAGGUACGAAAGCAUGGGGAGCAAACAGG
rnacentral:rRNA from 1 species